AUUGAACGCUGGCGGCAUGCUUUACACAUGCAAGUCGAACGGCAGCGCGGGGCAACCUGGCGGCGAGUGGCGAACGGGUGAGUAAUAUAUCGGAACGUACCCAAGAGUGGGGGAUAACGUAGCGAAAGUUACGCUAAUACCGCAUACGAUCCAAGGAUGAAAGUGGGGACCGCAAGGCCUCAUGCUCCUGGAGCGGCCGAUACCUGAUUAGCUAGUUGGUGAGGAAAGGCUCACCAAGGCGACGAUCAGUAGCUGGUCUGAGAGGACGACCAGCCACACUGGGACUGAGACACGGCCCAGACUCCUACGGGAGGCAGCAGU
rnacentral:rRNA from 1 species